CAUUCCUCUACAGCGGACUUCUGAGAAACAUCAAUUAAUACAAAAGAAGGCAGAAAAAAAAAAAGGAAUGAUGAAUAGGAAAAGACACCACAGUGGAAAGUAAAAUAUGUGAAUUGUGGAAUGAAAGGUGGUACAGAAUGCUUUGGAAUAGAGCAGGCUACUUCAGAAUAAUUUAAAGGUAAGUAAUCUUGACCUUUGCUGUUUAAUAUUUAUAAAUUUGCAUAUGUAAGUAGGACCCAUAAA
rnacentral:lncRNA from 1 species